UUUGGACGUUCGGUAUUCCCUUUCUUCAGUUUUCGUUUUUCCACCCCUUUAUGGCUCUAGCGAGAGGAACUGGGCGGAGCUCGAGGUAGAGAAGAUCUUGGCAUCCCUAUAAAUCAAGAUGGUGGUAUCUUUUCCGUUUCUAUCACCUCUGUUUCCUCGCAAUCCUCUCUGUCGUUGUAUUUGUGAGGCAGUGUGCCUGUGAUGAAUCUACAGUCGAUAGGAUCUUCCACCAUGUGAGAGACCUCUUUUUCUCCCUUCUUUGCCGUUCCAUUCACCUCUUCCGGUUUCCCUUCUGUGGGGACCUAUCUCCUCUCCUGCUUGAAUCGUUUUCCCUUUAAUAGUGGAUGGUCCUGGCCGAUGGAGGUGUGGUGGAAAAUUUGUUGUUGUUGGGCUUUGAAAGAAUGGCGCUAGGGAAGAAAUCUCUCUUCCAUUUCAACCUCGAGGUGCUUAUGGACGACAGGUAAACAAAGGCUUAUGAAUGGAUUGGGUAAGAGUGGAACAACUGCGGAUCGGAAGUUUGUCAAGGUGUUGUUGAACUGAGACAACACUAUACUAUCGAAACAGCGAGAGGAGGACAUAGAUUAGUGCCUGAUAGUGGUUCUGAGCUUCUUUCAAAUAUUGUAAUUGAGUUUGCAUGUUAUGGAUCAAGCUAUGGAGAAGGGUCUUAUUUUCAUUGAUGGUUCUGAAUCGACAUACGUUACUGCCACUUUGAAUCUCUUCUUCACUGUUAGGAAUCGAUAAGGUUGUGACGAUGAUAGCCACGGAAAUAUAGUUUGCAAGCUUAUAAAGGUAGAGCCAAAGAAUUCAAACAAAGGAAUGGUGACAGAUCUAUGAAAUAGCUAUGCUAUGCGAUGUUCUUCUCUAUGGGGUUUGAAAAUCUAAUCAAUUUUCGUUCAAGCUCAUGCUUUGACAGGUAAUUUUCCCAUCUUUCCUCCUAUCAUUUCAAUUUGUUACUGCCAUUGAUAUACAUGUAAGGUAGCUGUGGUGGUUUUCCAUUUUCCUUGCUUUUGAAUAUUUGGUUGAUUUAGAGGUGAGAUAUAUGAUUUUGAAUUUGGGAGUGCAGCACAUAUAUGAUUUUUCAUAGGUGACCAUGAUUCGCAUCUGAUCCAGUACUUUGAGGUGAGUCUAGAGUAAAUCAUAUUAGGUACAAUAGUUGCUGCUCAAGCUUUUCCAAUGGCUUCUAUUUUAGAACUAUAUUUAACCACUUAAACAGGAAUUACUUUUCGGAAUAAAGUCACUUUAAAGUGGCAAACAAACAACUGGAGUUUUCCCUCAGGUCUGUAUCUAAUAAUUUCUUCACUCAAUUAUUAGAUGGUGUGUUGAACUAUCCUAUACUUGGUUAUUGGCAGUUGGCAUCUUGAUAUUGUUAUUUCCAAUUUGUUAUGUCUUAGAACUUAUGUAACUAACAUGGAUGAAAUCUCCCAUUUCUUUCAAUUGUAAGAAGUAAGUAUAUUGCUCCUAUACUAUUCACGACUGAAGUGAGAAAGUUGUAUUUCACAAUUUGCUUCUGAGAAAUGUCUUAUGACAGAAGUUCAAAGCCUAUUUUGUUUAAGAAUAUAGAUUCCACCGAAUACAUGUUUGUCCUAUGUGUUAUGUACAAGUUUAAGGCCUGAUUUGGCAUUCUAUGUGCUUUAUCCUUGGUAUCUAUUGACAUGAAAUUACUUUGGUGUUAAUCUGACCUUGGCUAGGUAAAUUCACUUUGUUGAUGAGAAGAAAAGUUCCUCUUAAUUAGCUUUUGUGUUUUAGAAUUUUAUUUUUCGCUAAAGCCUUUCCUAUGUUCUGACUUCUGACACCUUAUACUUCAGUAUGACUUUCUACACAUAUAAAUUCAACUAUAUAGUACUUCACUUUUUUUUUUCCAGAUAGAUUGAAUGGAGUUGGGGCUUUGGAUGUUAUAAGAUAUUCAAGAUAAAGAAAGCUUAAUUGCUGCAACUUGGAGUCAAGGAACUGUUUUCUCUAUGUAGAAUUAUUUUGUAGGAUGCAAUGUACAAGAACUAAUACCUAUUAGGAAAAUUACAUACUUUGUAAUCGGCAUUUGUUGAGUGAAGAGACAAAUGUUAGGAAGUUGCAGUAUGUAGUUAAAAUUGUACUUAAAAUGUGAUGAAGUUAACACAUUCAUCGCAAUAAAAAUACAGGAAGUGGUUGAACUUCAUGAAUUUUUUUAGGUUCAAAAA